ACGGAAGGCAGCAGUGGGGAAUUUUGCGCAAUGGGGGGAACCCUGACGCAGCAACGCCGCGUGCGGGAUGAAGGCCUUCGGGUUGUAAACCGCUUUCAGCAGGGACGAUUAUGACGGUACCUGCAGAAGAAGCUCCGGCUAACUACGUGCCAGCAGCCGCGGUAAUACGUAGGGAGCGAGCGUUAUCCGGAUUCAUUGGGCGUAAAGCGCGCGUAGGCGGCUUGCUAAGCGGAACCUCUAAUCCGAGGGCUCAACCCCCGGCCGGGUUCCGAACUGGCAGGCUCGAGGGCGGUAGGGGCAAGUGGAAUUCCAUGUGUAGCGGUGGAAUGCGCAGAUAUAUGGAAGAACACCGAUGGCGAAGGCAGCUUGCUGGGCCGACACUGACGCUGAGGUGCGAAAGCGUGGGGAGCGAACAGGAUUAGAUACCCUGGUA
rnacentral:rRNA from 1 species